rnacentral:rRNA from 1 species
AAGGUCUAACCUGCCCAAUGAGGAUUUAAAUGGCCGCAGUAUUUUGACUGUGCAAAGGUAGCAUAAUUAUUAGUUUUUUAAUUGAAAGCUUGUAUGAAGGGUUGGACGAGAUAAAAUCUGUCUUUAUUUAAGUUAUGAUAGAAUUUAACUUUUAAGUCAAAAGGCUUAAAUGUUUAUAAAAGACGAGAAGACCCUAUAGAUCUUUAUUUAAUUGAAGUUUUGAUAAUUUAGGAUUAUUUUAAUUUAAAUUUUUAAUUAAAUUUUAUUGGGGUAAUAUAAAGAUUAAAAUAAUUCUUUUAAUUUAUUACAUUAAUUUAUGAAUAUAUGAUCCAAUAUUGUUGAUUAUAAGAUUAAGUUACCUUAGGGAUAACAGCGUAAUUUUUUUGGAGAGCUCAUAUCAAUAAAAAAGUUUGCGACCUCGAUGUUGGAUUAAAAAUUAGCUUGGGUGUAGAAGCUCGGGAUUUUGGUCUGUUCGACCA